UACGAAAGGGGCUAGCGUUGUUCGGAAUUACUGGGCGUAAAGCGCACGUAGGCGGCCUUGUAAGAUGGGGGUGAAAUCCCUGGGCUCAACCCAGGAACUGCACUCAUGACUGCAAAGCUCGAGGAUGUGAGAGGUUGGCGGAAUUCCGAGUGUAGAGGUGAAAUUCGUAGAUAUUCGGAAGAACACCUGUGGCGAAGGCGGCCAACUGGCACAUUUCUGACGCUGAGGUGCGAAAGCGUGGGGAGCAAACAGG
rnacentral:rRNA from 1 species